rnacentral:ncRNA from 2 species
CAGAUGAUUAGAGGUUGCGCGUAACAUGAGUCACUUAACUGACAAGCCACACUUGAGUGAGGUUAAGUAAAAGGGAAACGCGCCGAAAUGCCCGGUUGUGGAACCAGGGUGUUGGGCUAAGUUUGAAGAAGACUUAGACUGUCGCAGAUAACUGCGGGGCGCUAACACGACG